rnacentral:lncRNA from 1 species
UGUAGGGCAUUUAUUCUUUUAUUUUUCUCUCACUCUGUGCCCCCGUUCUCCUCCUACUCUUCUCUUCUUCUCCUUUUUUUCCCGCUAUGUUCCCAUGCCCCAUUGACGAUGAUCCUUUAGCGGCCACCACUGCCUUCCAUACCCUUUUUACCUACUGCACCAUCAUGAAUUCAUGGUAUGCCGUAGCAUCGAGUCUAUCCCACAGUCCUUUAUGGCAGGGGUGGUCGAUGGUCGGAUCUUCAUGGCCGUAGACGGCAAUGGAGGUAUCAUUGUGGUGGAUUGCCACAAUCCAAUGGUGGAUUGUUGGUUACCGAGGCACAGAUGCGGUGCAAGAUGGCAUGGUAUGAUGCGGCAGUGGUGGGAUGGUGGAUGUAUGUGAU